GGAUGUGAGGGCAAUCUGGCUGUGACAUCUGUCACCCCAUUGAUCGCCAAGGUUGAUUCAGCUGAUCUGGCUGGCUAGGCGGGUGUCCCCUUCCCCCCUCACCACUCCCGAAGCUGAAAAGGACAGCCUUUCCCGAAUAGAGACAGACUGAUCUUCGGUAGAAGGUAUACAAGUAGCUGCGCUCCCCUACUAGAACCUCCAAACAAGCUCUCAAAUGUAUGAGUUAAGUCUAUAAAACUUGAGGCUGGGGAGACAAUAGCGCAAGUAGUUAAGCUAUAUACC
rnacentral:snRNA from 1 species